AUUGAACGCUGGCGGCAUGCCUUACACAUGCAAGUCGAACGGUAACAGGUCUUCGGAUGCUGACGAGUGGCGAACGGGUGAGUAAUACAACGGUACGUGCCUAGUAGUGGGGGAUAACUACUCGAAAGCGUGGAUAAUACCGCUUAAGAGCUAAGUAUGAAAGCAAGGGAUAGUAAGACCUUGUGCUACUAGACCGGCCGAUGGCAGAUUAGGUAGUUGGUGGGAUGAAAGCUUACCAAGCCGACGAUCGGUAGCUGGUCUGAGAGGACGAUCGGCCACACUGGGACUGAGACACGGCCCAGACUCCUACGGGAGGCAGCAGUGGGGAAUUUUGGACAAUGAGCGGAAGCCUGAUCCAGCAAUGCCGCGUGCAGGAUGAAGGCCUACGGGUUGUAAACUGCUUUUGUACGGAACGAAAAGCCCUGGGUUAAUUCCCUGGGGUCAUGACGGUACCGUAAGAAUAAGCACCGGCUAACUACGUGCCAGCCGCCGCCGUAAGAC
rnacentral:rRNA from 1 species